UCCCUGGUGGCUCAGAUGGUAAAGCAUCUGCCUGCAAUGCGGAAGACCUGGGUUCGAUUCCCGGGUUGGGAA